UCAACAUUGUGACUUGGGAGGCCUGUGUGCCCACUGUAACGUGGAUUAAGCUGGGAGCCCGAAACCACAAGUGAGAAGUCAUCUUCCACCUCUGCAGUGCAGACCUGCUCCCGCAUGGAAGACUUUGGAAAAGGCUGCUCCGACUUGUGGAUUUGGUUCCAUCAGCUCUUGCAAACUCAGUUAGACCUCUUCACCCAGCAAGGUCUGGCGAUUGUACUCAUCUCCAGCCCCCGAAAGCUGAUUUCCUCCUGGAAGUGCCCCUGUGCGUUGCCCAUGGAUGCAGUGGCUCCACAUCAGGCAUGAGAGGGACUGGUAAAGAAGAAUGGGCCAAGUGAAAUUCCAGCCAAGGCGUUUUCAUUCAGCCGUCCCCAAAUUCCCAGUUGGCCACUGAUGCUCUGCUCUCUAAUUAGCCCCACUCCAUCCUUGUAGAGGAGGCGAGAGUGUGCAUGCAAAAUGUGAGCACCACAAACCUGUGUCUGCUUUGCUGCCGUGUUCCAGCCCAGAAAGACAGCGUCUGCCUGCAUGCCUCUGUGUUCUGCGUGGAGCUCC